AAUGAACGUUGGCGGCGUGGAUUAGGCAUGCAAGUCGCGCGAGAAGUUUCCUUCGGGAGACGGACAGCGGCGGAAGGGAGAGGAGUACGUAGAAAUCUGCCCUCGAGCCUGGGAUAGCGGCGGGAAACUGCCGGUAAUACCAGAUAAAGUCUUCGGACCAAAGGUGUGAUUCCGCUUGAGGAUGAGUCUACGUCCUAUUAGCUAGUUGGCGGGGUAAUGGCCCACCAAGGCAACGAUGGGUAGCGGGUGUGAGAGCACGAUCCGCCUCACUGGGACUGAGACACUGCCCAGACACCUACGGGUGGCUGCAGUCGAGAAUCUUCGGCAAUGGGGGAAACCCUGACCGAGCGACGCCGCGUGCGGGAUGAAGGCCCUCGGGUUGUAAACCGCUGUCGUAAGGGACAAAUCCAUAGGGGUACUCUCCUAUGGUUGAGUGAUCUUAGGAGGAAGGACGGCUAAGUCGUGCCAGCAGCCGCGGUAAUGUCUGUACU
rnacentral:rRNA from 1 species